AGAUUGCCUCAAUCUACUACUGUGGAGGUUCGAAUUCCUGCAAGUGCGGUGGGUAAAGUUAUGGGAAGAGGAGGAGGCAACUUGGAUAACAUAAGAAGGAUAUCAGGAGCUUUGAUAGAAAUUUCUGAUUCCAAUAAUUCCCAUGGCGGUCGCAUUGCUCUCAUUUCCGGAACACCUGAACAGAAGCGUACCGCAGAGAACUUGUUCCAAGCUUUUAUCAUGUCCACUUGAAUAGUUUGCUCUGCCCCCAAAAUCCUUUUCCAUGGAAGUUUGUUCCAUCUCUCUAGCUCUCAGUGGAUUUCUUUGGUCGGGUUCUCAGGCUCUUCUCCCUCUUCCAUCAAGUUCAUGUUUAUACAUGGUUACAUCUCUCUCCAACUUUUCAGUAUCUUUGUCUUCAUUAGGUAACUUUUGGUUUCUCGUGCUAGACAUCUUACAGUCUGUCAGGAUCAUUCUUUCUUCCUUUCCUUGCGAGCUGUUCGUAUGAUAAAUGCUUAUCUCUCUGUGCAAUAAAACAAAAGCGUUCUUAUAUCAAAUCAAACUUUGCUUAUUUUCCAUAUAUGAAUCAGGUCUGCUUUGUGCUUUGUCCAAAGCAGUCCUUUCAGUUAGGUGGUACUUUUACCAGACUCUGGCACAUCCCACAUCUCAGCUUCGUCAUAUGUGAUUCCAAAUGAUACUCAUCACAUCAGGGUGCUUGGUUUUUCUGUAGAAAUUUCUGCAGUGAACAGAAAUAACAAUUAGAGCCUUUAGAUCUCUUCUUGUUAAUGGUCGUAACUUUUUCUGCUUCUUGGAAGUUUUUUUUUAACCUUUUUAGUUCUUUUGAUCUUGCGAUCUGUUUAUUUGAAAAUCCGUGGGUUUAUAUCAGUUAAGAAACUUCUCAUUCUUUCUGAUCAUCCCAUUCUCUGCUACGAUUUUACGGUCUUUAGGUAGAACUCCACCGAUUGAUCUUUGAUAUAUUUACCACUCUGAUCAUCAUAUCUGUGUUCAUCUCAAAUAUCGUUUUUAACUUAAAUCUUUGAUCUUUAGUGCUUGUAGCUAGCAUACUAGGUUGUCAGUAUAUGAUUUUAGUUAGCAUUAGAUCCUGCAACACUAAAAAAGCUUUUCUGAAUGUGGUGUGUUUUCGACUUAGCUUAUACAAGUCUUGUCACUCCGCGCUGGCAUUUUACCAUUCUCACAUUCUAGGUUGUCACUCUAGGAUCUUAGCAUUUAAAUCUGGAACACCAAAAGAUUUUCUGAUUCUGGUAGCGUUUGUGGUCUGAUCUCUUUGGCAUGGCAUAUAUAUGUGAUAAACCUGGGGUUCCACAACAUAUCAGGUUGUUAGAAACCUGCCACAAUUUGGUUUUUAUUUUUGGGGUUUGAUCAUUUUUCCGAUAAGCCUAACCCUCCAACCACAUCCUGGGAUUUUUCCUUUUUUCGCAAAAACGCAGUUUCCAAAAUAUAAUGUGUAGUUUAGUUGUUGGCAAUUAUGAAGUCUUGUUCAUUGUUUGAUCAGAAGUGAUUGAGGAUAAGUUUCUUAGAAGAAGAUAGAUGUUGAUCCAUUUGGCAGGUUUUGACGUUUGUAUUCAAAUUGGUCAUGUACAUACGUUACGCAAUUAUAAAGUGCUUCACCAUUAA